rnacentral:rRNA from 1 species
GGGAAUUUUGCGCAAUGGGGGAAACCCUGACGCAGCAACGCCGCGUGGAGGAUGAAGUCUCUUGGGACGUAAACUCCUUUCGACCGGGACGAUAAUGACGGUACCGGAAGAAGAAGCCCCGGCUAACUUCGUGCCAGCAGCCGCGGUAAUACGAGGGGGGCAAGCGUUGUUCGGAAUUAUUGGGCGUAAAGGGUGCGUAGGCGGCCCCGCAAGUCCCGUGUGAAAUCCUCAAGCUCAACUUUGGGUCUGCACGGGAAACUGCUGGGCUGGAGUGUGGGAGAGGUGAGUGGAAUUCCUGGUGUAGCGGUGAAAUGCGUAGAUAUCAGGAGGAACACCUGUGGCGAAAGCGGCUCACUGGACCACAACUGACGCUGAGGCACGAAAGCUAGGGGAUCAAAC